rnacentral:misc_RNA from 1 species
GCAAACUUGGUCAUUUAGAGGAAGUAAAAGUCGUAACAAGGUUUCCGUAGGUGAACCUGCGGAAGGAUCAUUACCGAUGCCCGGGUCCGGCGCGUGCCGGCCGACCUCGGCCGCGCGCGCCGGGCCCUCUUUUUUCUUUUCCAAACCCGUGAAGUCCCGGACGCGGGUGCUGGGGGAGACCCCUUCGCCCGAGGCGGGCGGACCCCCCGGGGUCCCCCGCGAGCAAGACAGAAGACUUGAAAAAACUUUCAACAACGGAUCUCUUGGUUCUCGCAUCGAUGAAGAACGCAGC